GCUAGGCGCAGUGGCACACGCCUGUAAUCCCAGCAGCUUGGGAGGCUGAGGCAGGAGGAUCAUGAGUUCAAAGCCAGCCUCAGCAAUGGCAAGGCACUCAGCAACUCAGUGAGACCCUGUCUCUA
rnacentral:sRNA from 1 species